CUGCCAUUUAACCUCUAUCCAGGUGAUCCGCGGGGCCAGAUCAGAGAGACACCAGCACUGGCAAAGUGCAGAGGAGGGGAAGGCCCUGGGCAAGGCACAGCAACGCGGAGAAGCAGAGCAGGACGAGCCAGUUUCCCCAUCACUGCACAGAACCUGCACGAGACCUUCUGGGGAAGAGCUCGUUUCAGAUGGCACCUGAGUAGCAGCAUCCCUUGGGGCUGCUGGAAGUUGUGUUCCCUGUUUGGUAAAAGGAAGAAUACACACUGUUAACUCUGGGAGGCACAAGAACGACAGGUGGUGAAUAUUCUUUAAGUUGACAAGGGACAGAAGCAAAUGCAGUGGAAAGAACACGGUGAGUGGCAUCAAGAGCUCUGGGCCCUGGUGCCAGGCUUUCCUCGUCUCACGUGUGUCAUGUGUCAUAGAGCUCCUCC